GAUGAACGCUGGCGGCGUGCCUAAUACAUGCAAGUCGAGCGAAUGGAUUAAGAGCUUGCUCUUAUGAAGUUAGCGGCGGACGGGUGAGUAACACGUGGGUAACCUGCCCAUAAGACUGGGAUAACUCCGGGAAACCGGGGCUAAUACCGGAUAACAUUUUGAACCGCAUGGUUCGAAAUUGAAAGGCGGCUUCGGCUGUCACUUAUGGAUGGACCCGCGUCGCAUUAGCUAGUUGGUGAGGUAACGGCUCACCAAGGCAACGAUGCGUAGCCGACCUGAGAGGGUGGUCGGCAACACUGGGACUGGAACACGGCCCAGACUCCUACGGGAGGCAGCAGUAGGGAAUCUUCCGAAAUGGACGAAAGUCUGACGGAGCAACGCCGCGUGAGUGAUGAAGGCUUUCGGGUCGUAAAACUCUGUUGUUAGGGAAGAACAAGUGCUAGUUGAAUAAGCUGGCACCUUGACGGUACCUAACCAGAAAGCCACGGCUAACUACGUGCCAGCAGCCGCCGUAA
rnacentral:rRNA from 1 species